GGAAUAAAAGUCGUAACAAGGUUUCCGUAGGUGAACCUGCGGAAGGAUCAUUAUUGUAUAACCGAGGUGCGAGGGCUGUCGCUGACCCGAAAGGUCGUGCACGCCCGAGUGCCCUCACACACAUCCAUCUCACCCCUAUGUGCACCACCGCGUGGGUCCCCCUUUGGCUUGUUCGGAGGGGGGCUUACGUUUUCACACAAACUUUGUAUGCAGUGUAGAAUGUAUUUUUUGUUUUUGCGAUCACGCAAUCAAUACAACUCUCAACAACGGAUCUCUUGGCUCUC
rnacentral:misc_RNA from 1 species